rnacentral:rRNA from 1 species
CAAUAGCGUAUAUUUAAGUUGUUGCAGUUAAAAAGCUCGUAGUUGGAUUUCGGAUGGGAUUUGCCGGUCCGUCGUUACGAUGUGCACUGGCCAGUCCUAUCUUGUUGUCGGGGACUAGCUCCUUGGAUUCACUUCCUGGGACUAGGAGCUGACGAGGUUACUUUGAGUAAAUUAGAGUGUUCAAAGCAAGCCUACGCUCUGAAUACAUUAGCAUGGAAUAACACGAUAGGACUCUGGCUUAUCUUGUUGGUCUGUGAGACCAGAGUAAUGAUUAAGAGGGACAGUCGGGGACAUUCGUAUUUCAUUGUCAGAGGUGAAAUUCUUGGAUUUAUGAAAGACGAACAUCUGCGAAAGCAUUUGCCAAGGAUGUUUUCAUUGA